rnacentral:rRNA from 1 species
CCUACGGGAUGCUGCAGUAGGGAAUCUUUCACAAUGGGCGAAAGCCUGAUGGAGCAACGCCGCGUGCAGGAUGAAGGCCUUCGGGUUGUAAACUGCUUUUAUAAGCGAGAAAUAUGAUGGUAACUUAUGAAUAAGGAUCGGCUAACUACGUUCCAGCAGCCGCGGUCAUACGUAUGAUCCGAGCAUUAUCCGGAUUGACUGGGUGUAAAGAGUUGCGUAGGUGGCAUAAUAAGUAGCUAGUGAAAUCUGGUGGCUCAACCAUUCAGACUAUUAGCUAAACUGUUAAGCGCGAGACCGUUAGGGGUAACUGGAAUUUCUAGUGUAGGAGUGAAAUCCGUAGAUAUUAGAAGGAACACCAAUAGCGUAGGCAGGUUGCUGGGACGGUUCUGACACUAAGGCACGAAAGCGUAGGGAGCAAACGGGAUUAGAUACCCCGGUAGUC